GGAGAGAGAGAGAGAGAGAGUAUAAUCACAUCGGAGGAUAGAUACUAAUUGGUAUUCUAAAUUAUACAUAUAGGAAUAUGUACUGCAAAAAGUCCUAGUAAUAAGUUCCUUCUAUUAAAAUAUUUAACUAGAAAUUGAUAAGGAGCCUAUUGAUGUUGUACAAAGAUGCUUUAAUACCAAAUUGACGAAGCACCAAAAAGAAUAAAAGCAAACAAGGACCAAAUCCUUAAGGAAAAGCGAAAUUAUUUCUCAGUUGUAUUAAUUCUCAAAUAAUUAUCAUAUCAAGGUCUGAAAACUAUGUAAAUAACUAGGUCCUAUCUAUAAAAUUAAGAAUCCCAUUCACAUUAGGAUUUUAGAAUU
rnacentral:misc_RNA from 1 species